rnacentral:rRNA from 1 species
AACGAACGCUGGCGGCAGGCUUAACACAUGCAAGUCGAACGGGCGUAGCAAUACGUCAGUGGCAGACGGGUGAGUAACACGUGGGAACCUUCCUCGUAGUACGGGACGACUCAGGGAAACUUGAGCUAAUACCGUAUACGUCCGAGAGGAGAAAGAUUUAUCGCUAUGAGACGGGCCCGCGUCCGAUUAGGUAGUUGGUGGGGUAACGGCCUACCAAGCCGACGAUCGGUAGCGGAUCGGAGAGGAUGAUCAGCCACACUGGGACUGAGACGCGGCCCAGACUCCUACGGGAGGCAGCAGUGGGGAAUCUUGGACAAUGGGCGCAAGCCUGAUCCAGCCAUGCCGCGUGAGUGAAGAAGGCCUUAGGGUUGUAAAGCUCUUUUGCCAGGGACGAUAAUGACGGUACCUGGAGAAUAAGCCCCGGCAAACUUCGUGCCAGCAGCCGCCGUAACAC